rnacentral:rRNA from 1 species
UACGUAGGGUGCGAGCGUUAAUCGGAAUUACUGGGCGUAAAGCGUGCGCAGGCGGUUCUCCAAGUCCGUUGUGAAAGCCCCGGGCUCAACCUGGGAAUGGCAGUGGAAACUGCAGAGCUUGAGUCCUGGAGAGGAAGGCGGAAUUCUCGGUGUAGAGGUGAAAUUCGUAGAUAUCGAGAGGAACACCGGUGGCGAAGGCGGCCUUCUGGACAGUGACUGACGCUGAGACGCGAAAGCGUGGGGAGCAAACAGG